UACAGAGGUCUCAAGCGUUGUUCGGAUUCAUUGGGCGUAAAGGGUGCGUAGGCGGCGCGGUAAGUCGGAUGUGAAAUCUCGGGGCUUAACUCCGAAACUGCAUUCGAUACUGCCGUGCUUGAGGACUGGAGAGGAGACUGGAAUUUACGGUGUAGCGGUGAAAUGCGUAGAUAUCGAUAAGGAAGACCAGUGGCGAAGGCGGGUCUCUGGACAGUUCCUGACGCUGAGGCACGAAGGCCAGGGGAGCAAACGGG
rnacentral:rRNA from 1 species